rnacentral:rRNA from 1 species
UGGGGGAUAUUGCACAAUGGAGGAAACUCUGAUGCAGCGACGCCGCGUGAAGGAAGAAGGCCUUCGGGUUGUAAACUUUUGUUUUUAGUGAAGAUAAUGACGGUAGCUAAAGAGGAAGCCACGGCUAACUACGUGCCAGCAGCCGCGGUAAUACGUAGGUGGCAAGCGUUGUCCGGAAUUACUGGGUGUAAAGGGUGCGUAGGCGGGAAAUUAAGUUAGAUGUGAAAGGUAAGUGCUCAACAUUUACACUGCAUCUAAUACUGAUUUUCUUGAGUGUCGGAGAGGUAAGCGGAAUUCCUAGUGUAGCGGUGGAAUGCGUAGAUAUUAGGAGGAACACCAGUGGCGAAGGCGGCUUACUGGACGAUAACUGACGCUGAAGCACGAAAGCGUGGGGAGCAAACA